rnacentral:rRNA from 1 species
AGAUAUUAUCCCCUUGUAGUGUAGUUUAAUAGCUAUCUACAUAAUAACUUAAUAUAAAGUAUAAUAGUUUAUAUUUUAUAAUAUGACGUUAAUAAUUUUGUUUAAUAUUUGAAAAUGUUAGUAUUAGUAAUAUUAGUAUAUGUGCUAAAGGAACUCGGCAAAAAACCACUCAACUGUUUAUCAAAAACAUAGCUAUAUGAAUUAAUAUAUAGUUAUUUCUGCUCAAUGACUUAAAUAGCCGCGGUACUCUGACUGUGCAAAGGUAGCAUAAUCAGUUGGCUUUUAAUUAGAGUCUGGUAUGAACGAAAAUAUGGGUAGUAACUGUCUUAGCACAUUUUUCCGAACUUAUUAAACAAGUGCAAAUGCUUGUAAUUUAACAAUAGACGAGAAGACCCUAGAAACUUGGACAAGUUUUUGUUGGGGCGACAGAAUUACAUUUAACUAAUCUUAUAACACACGACGCAAUGUUGAAAGAAUAAGUUACUCUAGGGAUAACAGCAUAAUUUCAUUAGUUUGUGACCUCGAUGUUGGACUAGGUACUAUACCCUUAAGGCAAGGAUAUAUUAUGCUCUGUUCGAGCAAAAUUACCUACAUGAUCUGAGUUCAGACCG